rnacentral:rRNA from 1 species
GUGGGGAAUAUUGGACAAUGGGCGCAAGCCUGAUCCAGCCAUACCGCGUGGGUGAAGAAGGCCUUCGGGUUGUAAAGCCCUUUUGUUGGGAAAGAAAUCCUGUCGGUUAAUACCUGGCGGGGAUGACGGUACCCAAAGAAUAAGCACCGGCUAACUUCGUGCCAGCAGCCGCGGUAAUACGAAGGGUGCAAGCGUUACUCGGAAUUACUGGGCGUAAAGCGUGAGUAGGUGGUGGUUUAAGUCCGUUGUGAAAGCCCUGGGCUCAACCUGGGAAUUGCAGUGGAUACUGGAUCACUAGAGUGUGGUAGAGGGAUGCGGAAUUUCUGGUGUAGCAGUGAAAUGCGUAGAGAUCAGAAGGAACAUCCGUGGCGAAGGCGGCAUCCUGGGCCAACACUGACACUGAGGCACGAAAGCGUGGGGAGCAAACAGGAUUAGAAACCCGGGUAGUCC